CGUAGGGUGCAAGCGUUGUCCGGAAUUAUUGGGCGUAAAGAGCUCGUAGGCGGCUUGUCACGUCUGCUGUGAAAACUCGGGGCUCAACCCCGAGCCUGCAGUGGAUACGGGCUAGCUAGAGUGCGGUAGGGGAGACUGGAAUUCCUGGUGUAGCGGUGAAAUGCGCAGAUAUCAGGAGGAACACCGGUGGCGAAGGCGGGUCUCUGGACCGAUACUGACGCUGAGGAGCGAAAGCGUGGGGAGCGAACAGGAUUAGAUACCCUGGUAGUCCACGCCGUAAACGUUGGGCGCUAGGUGUGGGGAACUUUCCACGUUCUCCGUGCCGCAGCUAACGCAUUAAGCGCCCCGCCUGGGGAGUACGGCCGCAAGGCUA
rnacentral:rRNA from 1 species